UACGGAGGGUGCAAACGUUGCUCGGAAUCAUUGGGCGUAAAGCGCACUUAGGCGGCCCGGUAAGUCGGAUGUGAAAGCCCUCGGCUCAACUGAGGAAGUGCAUUCGAAACUGCUGGACUUGAGUACGGGAGAGGGAUGCGGAAUUCCCGGUGUAGAAGUGAAAUUCGUAGAUAUCGGGAGGAACACCAGUGGCGAAGGGGGCAUCCUGGACCGAUACUGACGCUGAGGUGAGAAAGCGUGGGGAGCAAACAGG
rnacentral:rRNA from 1 species